GAUGAACGCUAGCGGCAGGCUUAAUACAUGCAAGUCGAGGGGCAGCACGAAUAGUAAUAUUUGGUGGCGACCGGCGCACGGGUGCGUAACACGUAUACAAUCUACCUUCAACAGGGGGAUAGCCUUUCGAAAGAGAGAUUAAUACCCCGUAAUAUAUGAGAUGGCAUCAUUUUAUAUUGAAAGUUCCGACGGUUGAAGAUGAGUAUGCGUCUGAUUAGCUAGUAGGUGAGGUAACGGCUCACCUAGGCUACGAUCAGUAGGGGAUCUGAGAGGACUAACCCCCACACUGGUACUGAGACACGGACCAGACUCCUACGGGAGGCAGCAGUAAGGAAUAUUGGUCAAUGGAGGCAACUCUGAACCAGCCAUGCCGCGUGCAGGAUGAAGGCCCUAUGGGUCGUAAACUGCUUUUAUACCAGAGAAAUCCUUUCUACGUGUGGAAGGUUGAUAGUAUGGUAAGU
rnacentral:rRNA from 1 species